AUUGAACGCUGGCGGCAGGCCUAACACAUGCAAGUCGAACGGUAACAGGAAGAAGCUUGCUUCUUUGCUGACGAGUGGCGGGCGGGUGAGUAAUGUCUGGGAAACUGCCUGAUGGAGGGGGAUAACUACUGGAAACGGUAGCUAAUACCGCAUAACGUCGCAAGACCAAAAAGGGGGACCUUCGGGCCUCUUGCCAUCGGAUGUGCCCAGAUGGGAUUAGCUAGUAGGUGGGGUAACGGCUCACCUAGGCGACGAUCCCUAGCUGGUCUGAGAGGAUGACCAGCCACACUGGAACUGAGACACGGUCCAGACUCCUACGGGAGGCAGCAGUGGGAAUAUUGCACAAUGGGCGCAAGCCUGAUGCAGCCAUGCCGCGUGU
rnacentral:rRNA from 1 species